GCCCUGUAGCUCAGUUGGUUAGAGCAUCCAACUGUUGUGCGGAAGGUCAUGGGUUGGCGUCCUGUUGGGGAUUCA